GCCUGUUUUUUCUGGUUCUUCUGCAGCGGUGAUCUGCACCACCACCAUCUGAUCAAGGCACCGUGCAGCCCCCCGAGAUGAUGGAACAAAGGCGGGGGUCUCAGCUGUCCAUGAGACCAACACCAUUAAUUACUAUCAGCCUGAAAACCAAGAGGACUGAGACAUGGAGGACUUGUGAGACCACCUGUGACCUUCAGCUAACUCCAGGAAUAUUGAACUCAGAAACCAACAAGAUGGAGUCGGCUUUGACCAACAUCUGAAUAUGGAACACCAUUGUGACUGAUGGCCGAGUAUUUGUCUUUGCUUUCAGCUUUUACUAAAUGAGGAAUACACCGGGUUUCCUUCUUAGACCCCCCGAUACGUUUGAUGUCCUGUAAUGCUUAGAGGAACAGUCAGUCAAAGCAAAAGUGAAGCUAAGAACUCCAUAAUAACUAGAAUAUAGAAAAAAUGGUAACAACCAUACACAAGUUUAUUGGAGAGGAUACAAAUGACAGCACUGCAGCACCACUUCCCAGUUCCAUGAUGCAAUGCUGAGGUGCCAUCUUUGUUUCAUGGUAUUUUAACUCGUUUUUAUAAAUUUCAUUCUUUCGA